rnacentral:sRNA from 1 species
CUUUCUGACCUUAAGUGUUUAGAUAUUUGACAUCUGUCUGUAGUGCUGAUGUGAUCUCAAGCUUUGUACCCAAUAAGCUUCUGAGAUGGUUUUCUCUUUCUGUUAUUCAGUGAGUCAACCUGAUAACUGUGUUCCCAUGGAGGCUGUGGGGGAUCCACAUACUGUGACUGUUUCCAUGGACAGCAGUGAAAUAUCCAUGAUCAUCAAUUCUAUCAAAGAAGAGUGUUUUCGAUCAGGGGUAGCAGAGGCUCCUGUUGGAUCAAAGGCUCCCAGCAUAGAUGGGAAGGAAGAAUUAGAUCUGGCUGAGAAGAUGGAUAUUGCUGUGUCUUACACAGGUGAAGAGCUGGAUUUUGAGACUGUCGGAGACAUCAUUGCCAUCAUUGAGGACAAGGUAGAUGAUCAUCCUGAAGUGCUGGAUGUGGCAGCAGUGGAAGCAGCACUGUCAUUUUGUGAAGAAAAUGAUGAUCCUCAGUCCCUGCCUGGCCCCUGGGAGCAUCCUAUCCAGCAGGAGCGGGACAAGCCAGUAUCUCUCCCUG